UUCACUUGUACUAGUUACAGUCAGGGAAUAUGCAUAACUACAAUCUUGGAGUUGCCGACAGUCCCGAAGGACCAGUAUGAACAGUCAGUGAAUCAUAUAUCAUCUGUCAAGAAGCUACAAAGGCAGCAGAUGGGGGUCUGGCCAGUCGUGUGGGUGCUGCCUGUCAAGAUCAGAAAGACCAGAAGAUGAAGGAGCAGAAGCAUGUCAUUUAGCCCAUCAAGUUUGUCCUGCCAUUCAAUGAAGAUCACGGCUGAUCUGGAUUUCAUGGCACACAAUCGGGCCGAAAGAGCCAAGAGUCCCCACCCACUUUGCCUUUGUGAAAAAUUACAAGUCUUCAGCCUGAAUUAUAUUCACUGAGCAGAGCUCUUGGUAAGGAGGAUAUCAAUAGGUGAAAUAUUGCCCGCAUUAAGAACGAAAGGCUGAAUUCAAUUCCUGCCUAUGAACCGUGAACAACAAC